GUGCCCAAUCCGGCCGAGGAGCGUUACCAUGGCAACCGUGCCGCGGAGGCCUUGAGAGGCCACACGCCCUAUGUUGGUCUGCGAGAAAUCAAACUUCGAACAGGACAAGCCCGAAGCCCGCUUCUCCGGGAGACGGGGUGCCACAAUUGCAAGGACCCUUGCUCCACAGAAUUCUUUGCCUGGAAUUUUCUUCCCAGAAUCUUUGCAUGUCAUUCCCUCUGUUGCUGAGUUACCGGGAUCUCAAUGUAAACGUUACGUACUGACAGAGGCUGCUGUGAACUGAAUUGCGUGCUUCCCAAAAUUCAUAUGUUGAUACUGUCACCCCCGGUACCUAAGGAUGUGACUACAUUUGGAGAUAGCAUCAUCAAAGAGGAGUUCUGCAAUAAAAUGCCUGCUUUCUCCACCAGAUGGUAUUCACAAAAAUAGCUCACAUUAUGUUUUGCUUGUUUGCAAGUCAACAAGAUGAGGUCACCGAAAAGGUCUAACUGAUUCUGUCUGCUCAGGAAUGUUUCAGGCUUGGUCUCCCUUUUAAUUUACCUCGUAAAUCAUUUUGUAAUUUUUAUCUCCUACCCAUUCUGUAACUUGUUAAUUACUUUUAUACACAUGUAAUAUCUUUUAUGUGUGAUUUCUAAGUAUAUUACUAGUGAACAUUGACUGUUACAAGGCAUACCUUGUCUUAUUGCAAUUUAUUGUGCUUCCCAAGUGUUGGAUUUCUUACAAAUUGAGGGGUUUUGGCAACCUUACCUUCAGUGACUCUGUCAACAAUAUUUUUUCCAACACCAUGUGAUCUGUGUGUGUGUGUGUAUCUUUGUCAGCAUUUUUA
rnacentral:lncRNA from 1 species